GUCUAUGGUCAUGCCACCUCUGUAACCACACCCAAUCCUGUCUGAUCUCGGAAGCUAAGCAGGGUUGGGCCUGGUUAGCCACUUGGAUGGGAGACCACCUAGGAAGACCAGGUGCUGUAAGUG
rnacentral:rRNA from 1 species